UUCUAAUCUAUAUUGUUAUUCUUUUUAUGAUUAACUAUGAAGUUGUAAAUCAUUUACCCUGCGAUAUCAGCCAUUAUGUUUUCAGCUUAAUAAAUGAAUAUGGUCUAAAGCAACAAUUAUUAUGUUAUGCAGCAAGUGGGAGCAAUGAUUCUUGUCGGUCACAGCAUGGGAGGAUCAAUUGUUGUGCAUGUAGCUGCAAGAAGUUCAUUGUCCACCUUGGUUGGGUUGUCGUGGAUGUUGUAGAGGGAACAACUAUGGCUUCACUCAUUCAAGAAAAUUCUAUCAAACAGGAUGCAACAUAU